UAUUUUGAAUCCCCGCACAAUCUUUCCCUAAUCUUACUAAACCAUAUUUCUCACUUCUUCCUUCCUCAGACACAAAAAAAUCUCUCAUUCUCUCUAAAUCCUUCUCUCAUUCUUUCUCACCUAUCAAACAACCACCACCACCACCCACCCCUUUACCACAAUCAAACGAUAUAGAUGGUUGUGUCUGCGGCUCGUGGUGGUAGUCGUCAACAACCACCUUCACGCUGGUCAGAUGGAUUUGCAAAUCACGCGAUGAUGACGAUGCAGGGUUGAAGCCAAUCUAAGCGACGACUAGGGUUCAGUCGAGACUUAUUGUAGCGGCGGUGGUGGUACUGGUGUACCGAAGUAUUGUCGCCGAUCAUUUACGGCCCUGGAGGUUUUUGAUAACUCGAUCAGAAAAUAGAAGAGGAACUUGACCCGAUUGAAAUCACAUAUUUUGAUGUUCUACGAUUCCUUUUCAUCUUCGAUUGGGGUUAUUUGACGGGGUCUCAGAGGUUGGGCUGGGAUGUGGCUCAUCUAACGUCAAGGUUUGUUUUCCCCCAAUUACUAAAGUUGAAUCAACGUGGUUGCGGUUUGAGGAUGGAGAAAUCCCAUGUGAUAUUGGGGAGUUAUACAACUUACAAGAUUUGGAUCUAAGUUGUAAUGAUUUUACACGAUUACAUUUCAGCCUCUCGCGACUUACACAACUCAAAUGGUUCCGCUUGAAUGAAUGUAAUCAACUUGUAGAAUUGCCCAAGCUCCCUUCGGGUAUUGUAAUUCUUGAGCAGACUGUUGCAAGUCACUUGCAACAAUUGGAGAUUUUUAUACAAUUUGUAAAAUGGUUAUGUCAUGUAUAAUUAUGAAGGGUGUUCUAGUUGAAGGGGAGAGCUUACUAGACUUCAUGCUUUAGGUAUAUAUGGCUCUCUAUGUUUUGAAAGUCAACUAAUUGAGCUUUAUAUGUGCAUACAGUAUUAAUUAGGAUAUAAGGAAUUUGUGUUCAUUAAACAGGGAAAGACUAUUGAAAAUCAUUGUAUGCUUCUAUGUGUUGAAGACCUUGGGAUUGCGAAGGAGUUUGCAACUCCUCUUGUUAGAGGGGAAAGAUAUAGAUUGAAACUUCCAGAGAAACAAAUUUUGUGGAUUCUUAAUAUGCGCUGUUGUAACUUACUUUUCUGAUUACUAUGCUUCUGAAUUGAUGAGCAUGGAUAUUGGAUAACAUUAUGAGUAAGGGUAUGGAUUACGAAGAUAAUGUGGUUUGGGAGGAAGGUCAAAAUGAUGCAAUUACAUGUUUUUGGUAUAUUUCAUUUGCUUCUUUAAGACACACUGCAUGCAUGGUGGAAUUAGAUAUACAAAGAUGUUUUGUUUUCGACACAUUUAGGUGACUCAUGUGUAGUGGAUUUGGAGUUAGACUGGUCAAAAGGAAAAGCAGAGAUGAUCUAACAGAAACAUCACCAGCACAAGAAUAUGAAUUUUCUAAGUAUGCACCUAAGUUCAUUAUCGGAGAUGACUCAAAAUAUGGUUGGGUAUAAUCUUGAUGUUUCGGUCAGUUUGGGUCAAGUAUGGCUCAAGUCGGUUGCUCGUUAGCAGGUUGGAUUUGGGUCAGCAGAUUGGCCAACAGGAUCAAUCCCAAGCACUCUUGGGGCACCCACCAGACAAAUACAAAUGGAGUACUCCGAGAGUAACCCGGGUCCACCACCAAUUCCGAGGAAAACCUAGUAACUCACCCGCCCGUAGACACGACGAUGGAAUUACUAGUAAAACCCGUUUGGCUCAAGAAUACAACCCAGGUUUCUCUGAUUCUUCUAUCCUUGCCCACCAGUGACUUACUCUACACCAAAUGGAAGUUAAACUUACAUCUCUCAAAAGAAAUGCAAGUCUUCCACUUGAUCUAGAGAUCAUUCGACACAAUAUAACACAUUCUUUUCUUUUGCUUUCCAUAUUAGUGGUCCACAAUGUUUAUUAUCGUUUGUCUUCUAUGAUGAAUUCAUAUAUUUCUUCAUCACUUUCCGUAUUAGUGGUCCACAAUAUUCAUUAUCGUUUGUCGUCUGUGAUGAAUUCAUAUAUUUCUUCAUCACUAGUUAUUAUCGUUUGUCUUCUAUGAGGAAUUCAUAUAUUUCUUCAUCACUAGUUAAGGUUGCUACAUUUGUAUUUUUUUACCUCUAGAUAUUCAAGGGACAUUAUAUUCUCACAAAAUAUAAUAUCAAUGUAGAAGUUACAACAUGUUAUGGAAUUUUUGUUCCUUAGACC